ACGUAGGGGGCGAGCGUUGUCCGGAAUUACUGGGCGUAAAGGGAGCGUAGACGGUUUUUUAAGUCUGGAGUGAAAGUCCUGCUUUCAAGGUGGGAAUUGCUUUGGAGACUGGAAGACUUGAGUGCGGAAGAGGUAAGUGGAAUUCCCAGUGUAGCGGUGAAAUGUGUAGAGAUUGUGAAGGACUCCAGUGGCGAAGGCGACUUACUGGGCCUUAACUGAGGCUGAGGCGCGAAUGCGUGGCGAGCGAACAG
rnacentral:rRNA from 1 species